rnacentral:rRNA from 1 species
CCAAUAGCGUCUAUUAAAGUUGUUGCAGUUAAAAAGCUCGUAGUUGAAUUUCGGGAUCAAUGGGUUGGUCAUGCCCUCGGUAUGUACUGAUUUCAUUGGUUCUCACCUUCUAAGGAACCAUGAUGUCAUUCGUUUGAUGUUGUGGGGAAUUAGGACUGUUACCUUGAAAAAAUUAGAGUGUUUAAAGCAGGCUAACGCUUGAAUACAUUAGCAUGGAAUAAUGAAAUAGGACAUCCGAUUCUAUUUUGUUGGUUUCUAGGAUCGAUGUAAUGAUUAAUAGGGAUAGUUGGGGGCAUUAGUAUUCAAUUGUCAGAGGUGAAAUUCUUGGAUUUAUUGAAGACUAACUACUGCGAAAGCAUUUGCCAAGGAUGUUUUCAUUAAUCAAGAACGAAAGUUAGGGGAUCGAAGACGAUCAGAUACCGUCGUAGUCUUAACCAUAAACUAUGCCGACUAGGGAUCGGAUGAUGCUUAUUUUUUAAUGACUCAUUCGGCACCUUACG